rnacentral:misc_RNA from 1 species
GCAAACUUGGUCAUUUAGAGGAAGUAAAAGUCGUAACAAGGUCUCCGUUGGUGAACCAGCGGAGGGAUCAUUACCGAGUUUAUAACUCCCAAACCCUGUGAACGUUUUUUGUGCUGCUUCGGCGGGGGCCCCAGGGCGGGGCUUCGGGCUUCGGCCGCCUGCCAGCGGUAGACUACAAAUUCUUUUUAGCGGACGUCUGAGUGAUAUUAUAACGAGUCAAAACUUUCAACAACGGAUCUCUUGGUUCUGGCAUCGAUGAAGAACGCAGC